rnacentral:rRNA from 2 species
GCCGAACUCAGAAGUGAAACGCCGUAGCGCCGAUGGUAGUGUGGGGUCUCCCCAUGCGAGAGUAGGGAACUGCCAGGC